rnacentral:lncRNA from 1 species
GUUUGAUCAAAUUUUGCAGAGGUACAUGCUUCCAAUUGGCUUCCCUCAGAGUUACAUGCUUCUAAUUGGGACCGCUCUGCCAGGGGUACUACUUCUAAUUAGUUUUUGCAGACACAGGUAUAUAUGUACUGCUUCCAAUCAGCUUCACAACAAGACAGAGGGUGUGCUCCCAAUUAGCUUCACUAAGAGGUACGUACUUCCAAUUGGCUUCGCUCAGACAACCAUACUACUUCCUGUGAUGUAAUGGUAUGGAUUUGCAAGUCUAUACUACUUCUAUUGUUGAAAUGGUACAUAAUUGCAAUUAACUGUCGUCCAAAUUUGCAGAACAUAUUUCAUUCAACAUUCUUGAUCCAGUUUACUAUCUAUUUUUUUGUAGAUUUUGCAUUUACAAAAAUUAUAGACCGUUGGACAAAGUGAAAACUGUAGGGCUCCCACAUCCUCACAAGGGAGUCCUUAUGAUGUCCCUUUUGAGAUAUUGAAUUUUUGAUGAAUCCUGUUUCUAUAAAAGUAGAAGAGUAUUUUAUAUCAAAACGAUAACUGAAAUAGCAAAUCUUUUCGAUUUGUUUGUAAUUACACCACUUUUAAUUGGCAGAGAAAACUAGUGUAUCUUUUUGGUUGGGAUUCAAUAGUGUAAAGAAAAGAAGUUCAAGCCUCAAAAGCCAACUUUCAGGAAAUCCAUUUUUUGAUACAUGACGGGAAGACUUAAAAUAAAAAUCCUCUUUUUGUCAAGUAAACAAAUACCAAUUUCUAGUAUGCAGCUAUAAACAUUGGAAAACUUUGAAUUCAUUCUAAAAUUAUUAAUCCUUUCACUGCUAGUACACUUUUUUUCUUUUUCUUUUUCCAGAUUUUCUUAUCUAAAGCUUACUAGGGAGUUGUUUAGAAAAAUAAAAAAAUGUGUAAUUUAUCAUGUCAAAUCUACAAUUUGAAUUUAAACUAAAAAUUAUCACAACUUUUUUCUUCAUUUAUUAAAAUCAAAUUUUUAAAGUAUAUAUGAGGUUCAUAAUUCAAAACUGUUCAAAGAAAUAAUAAGGGUUUCCUGUUUCACUUAAACUACUUCAUAACAAAAUAAUUUCUAAUAAAAUCUAUUUGGCGCAAUGAGUAGUUAUUCUAUUUUCAAAGAUAUCAUGAUUUUUCAAGACCACAAAUAUUCAUUAACUGAUAUGCUUACAGAGUCUGUUCUCAUGAAUUCAUUAACAAGAAAUUAAGAACCAAUGAUUCUACCCUAUUCUCUGGCAAUUUAACUUAAAAAAAAAAACCAAGAAUGUGUGCAUUGUACACAGAUGCCCAACUCACAAUAUAAUUUUCCAUGUUCAGUGGACCGUGAAAUUGGGAUCAAAACUUUAAUUUGGCAUUAAAAUUAGAAAGAUCAUAUCAUGGGGAGCAUAUGUACUAAAUUUCAAGUUGAAUGGACUUCAACUUCAUCAAAAACUACCUUGACCAAAAACUUUAGCCUGAACUUCCCCACUUUAUUUUCUAUGUUCAGUGGCCAGUGAAAUUGGGGUCAAAACUUUAAUUCGGCAUUAAAAUUUGAAAGAUUAGAUCAAUUGGGACUAGGGGCACUAAGUUUCAAGUUGAUUGGACUUCAACUACAUCAAAAACUACCUUGACCAAAAACUUAAACCUAAAGCGGGACAGACGGACGAACGGACGAACAGACAAACGAAUGAACAGACAAAUGGGCGAAUGGACACACAGACCAGAAAACAUAAUGCCCCUCUACUACAUAGGUGGGGCAUAAAAAUUAAUUUAUUGUAUUUUACAUUUAAAUAAAAUUUAUUGAAAAUAAAAAACCCAAAGUUUUUUAUUACUGUGCUUACAAGCUAUUUAUUCACCUAGUUAAUUCAAUUAGGUAAUAAUAAAUGUACCUUCAUGUGCUACUUUUAUAGACAAACAGGGUCAAAUUUUUAGACAUUUCCCUCUAAAGGAAAAAAUAUACUCAAUUUUUUUGUUUUAAAAGAAUAACACAAGUGGAGUUUUGGAAAGAAAAAAAAAAUUGAAUAUCAUCUCUACAUAUUAAAGAGUAUUUUGAGUUAAAUUUGUGUACUGACAAUUCUUUUGAAAUAAUUCAUUUUCAUGUUUUCAUUAUUUAGUAAAAUAAAAACGUCGUGUUUUUAUGUUUAAAUUAUUUAAUUUAAAAUAUAUCAUUGGUGAUUUCUUCAAAUUGGCACAAAUAAUCUUGAUAAAUUUUCAAUCCUAAUGUCAUUUUUAAAAGGGGGUUCAUGAACUCAUUUUCAAGUUAAAUCAGUCUGAAUGAUAAAAAUCAGUCAAAGAACCAAUCUUUUCUUUAUAUGUAACUAUUUGACAUAGCGAAAAGUAACAUCAGACAUAAGUGACAUCAUUUAACCUCCCUUGUUACUGUAUCAUAUGCCCUUGACAGCAAACUUAUAUCAGCCUCCCUAUAGAUCUUGAGGAACCUUGGCUGUCAAAAAGUUACAGUAAGUUAAGUUAUCAUUUAAAGGUGCAUAAACUAAAAUUAUGCACCUUUGACUUUAAGAAAUUUGGCCCUUUAUUAUAACAAUACUUGAGGGUGUGCUGCAGUAAUUUAAAAAUAUCUACAUGUUUCUGUUUCUAGUGCAUCUUCAUCAGGAUAAAAACCACAGGCGAGUACAAAAUAGUGAAGUGAUAAUUUGCACGUCACAAUGUCAACAAGGGGAGUAAUUAUAAAUAGAAAAUGAGAGUUGGUAUGAAAUUAAACUUUAAAAACAAUGUUAAAUAAAAUUUGUUGAAUAAUGUUUGAUCAAAUUUUGCAGAGGUACAUGCUUCCAAUUGGCUUCCCUCAGAGUUACAUGCUUCUAAUUGGGACCGCUCUGCCAGGGGUACUACUUCUAAUUAGCUUUUUGCAGACAGAGGUAUAUAUGUACUGCUUCCAAUCAGCUUCGCAACAAGACAGAGGGUGUGCUCCCAAUUAGCUUCACUAAGAGGUACGUACUUCCAAUUGGCUUCGCUCAGACAACCAUACUACUUCCUGUGAUGUAAUGGUAUGGAUUUGCAAGUCUAUACUACUUCUAUUGUUGAAAUGGUACAUAAUUGCAAUUAAUUGUCGUCCAAAUUUGCAAAAACAUAUUUUAUUUAACAUUCUUGAUCCAGUUAACC